GCCAAAAUAGCUCAGUUGGGAGAGCAUCAGACUGAAGAUCUAAAGGUCUCUGGUUCAAACUUGGGUUUUGGCA